rnacentral:rRNA from 1 species
UGUUAUACCGCAUAAUAUCUGUGGAUAAAGGUGGCUUAGGCUGCCGCAAAUGGAUGAGCCUGCGUUGGAUUAGCUAGUUGUUGGGGUAAGGGCCUACCAAGGCUACGAUCCAUAGCUGAUUUGAGAGGAUGAUCAGCCACAUUGGGACUGAGACACGGCCCAAACUCCUACGGGAGGCAGCAGUGGGGAAUAUUGGACAAUGGGGGAAACCCUGAUCCAGCAAUGCCAUGUGUGUGAAGAAGGCUCUAGGGUUGUAAAGCACUUUAGUUGGGGAGGAAAGCCUAUGAGUUAAUAGCUUGUAGGAAGGACGUUACCCAAAGAAUAAGGACCGGCUAACUCCGUGCCAGCAGCCGCGGUAAUACGGGGGGUCCGAGCGUUAAUCGGAAUUACUGGGCGUAAAGGGUCUGUAGGUGGUUUGUUAAGUCAGAUGUGAAAGCCCAGGGCUCAACCUUGGAACUGCAUUUGAUACUGGCAAACUAGAGUAUGGUAGAGGAAUGGGGAAUUUCUGGUGUAGCGGUGAAAUGCGUAGAGAUCAGAAGGAACACCAAUGGCGAAGGCAACAUUCUGGACCAAUACUGACACUGAGGGACGAAAGCGUGGGGAUCAAACAGGAUUAGAUACCCUGGUAGUCCACGCUGUAAACGAUGAGUACUAGCUGUUGGAUUCGGUGUAAAGGAUCUAGUGGCGCAGCUAACGCGUUAAGUACUCCGCCUGGGGACUACGGCCGCAAGGCUAAAACUCAAAGGAAUUGACGGGGACCCGCACAAGCGGUGGAGCAUGUGGUUUAAUUCGAUGCAACGCGAAGAACCUUACCUGGUCUUGACAUCCUGCGAACUUUCUAGAGAUAGAUUGGUGCCUUCGGGAACGCAGUGACAGGUGCUGCACGGCUGUCGUCAGCUCGUGUUGUGAAAUGUUGGGUUAAGUCCCGCAACGAGCGCAACCCCUAUUGAUAGUUACCAUCAUUAAGUUGGGUACUCUAUUGAGACUGCCGCUGACAAGGCGGAGGAAGGUGGGGACGACGUCAAGUCAUCAUGGCCCUUACGACCAGGGCUACACACGUGCUACAAUGGGUAUUACAGAGGGCUGCGAAAGGUGCGA